GCGGGGGCUGUUUACUGCCUCAUAAACUUGGAAGCAAGUGAUAUUGUCUCCUAAAUCAAUGGCUGCGCGGACAGCCUUGGCGCUCCAGGAGAACAGCACGGCCAGGCCGCGCCCGUGCUGAAAUUAAUGACUGGAGCAGUGACUGGAAGGUGCUUAGUCACUGCCGAGGGGAUUAGGAGCCAUUCCAGGGGACGAGCAGCCAGCCGAUGCUGAUGAGUCGGGGGCCGGAUGCCCCAACCAGAGCUCUGUGAUUAACCAGCUGAGUAAGCCUGCUUGGACCCCCAGAUCAGAAAGAGUCCAUCUCCCUGAGCUUACCACAGUAUGCACUGACCUAUGAUGGCACAGAUUUCUCUAAACAUGCUGUGCAGGUCAUCCAGCAAUGGAGAAUAUAGAAAACUUCCAGAGAUAGAGAAGCCCUUCUGCUUCCAGCCCCCUGAUAAGGUAUAAGAGAGACAGAUUUUUAAUAAUGUAUAUCCAAAUAGGAGAGAAAAAGAUUCUGAAACUCUAACCUUGAGACGACUCUAACCCUACAUAUGAUAUAUGACCAGCAGCCACAUGUUUUCCAUCAUUUUAAAAUAGACUUUUAUGUAUUUUAGAAAUGUUUUCCAUAAGCAUGUAUUUCUUCAACAAUCACAAAACAUUAAAUUUAUAAUAAAACGAAUAUGAAGAUGAAAGAGAAGAGACCCACAGAGUCUUUUCUACAUUUUUCCAUCCUGAAUUAUACACACACACACACACACACACACAUGCACACAGAGGUUUUAUUUUUAAAACUAAAAUGGUGGUUUUUAAUGGGAACCAGAG
rnacentral:lncRNA from 1 species